rnacentral:rRNA from 1 species
AACGAACGCUGGCGGCAGGCCUAACACAUGCAAGUCGAACGCUUCAGCAAUGAAGAGUGGCAGACGGGUGAGUAACGCGUGGGAACCUUCCCAGUGGUACGGAAUAGCCCAGGGAAACUUGGGGUAAUACCGUAUAAGCCCUUAGGGGGAAAGAUUUAUCGCCAUUGGAUGGGCCCGCGUCGGAUUAGCUUGUUGGUGAGGUAAGAGCUCACCAAGGCGACGAUCCGUAGCUGGUCUGAGAGGAUGAUCAGCCACACUGGGACUGAGACACGGCCCAGACUCCUACGGGAGGCAGCAGUGGGGAAUAUUGGACAAUGGGCGCAAGCCUGAUCCAGCCAUGCCGCGUGAGUGACGAAGGCCUUAGGGUUGUAAAGCUCUUUUGGCGGGGACGAUAAUGACGGUACCCGCAGAAUAAGCUCCGGCUAACUUCGUG